CCAUAAUGCUGGCAAAGAAUCAUGGGAGGUGUAGUCCAAAACAUCUGGAGUGCCAAAGGUUGCGUAUGCCUGCUCUAAACCCUCAGGCUAUCCAUGCUGUUUCAGUUCUCGUAAUGCCAAUUCUAGAAAAACAAUGCAACUUAUUUAUUAAACUUUAUUCUGUUUUGGAGUGAAGCAUUCCCAUGAUUCUUUGCCAGCGGGAGAGCAAUCUGUUGGCUACCAAUGGUAUAAGAGAAUAGAGGAAUUAAUGACACACAGCUCCUUUGCUCGAGGGUUAAUCUGUGCCUUCCCCUCUAAUUUCUACCCGGGUACCAAAUUACCACUCCUGCUGCUCUCUAAACCAUCCAUGCAUUCCAUUUUCAGCACAGCAAUCAAGAUACACCAUGGUCAAACACAGCUGGCUUUACAAGUCCCCCCCCCCCUAACAUCAUUGGCUUUGGUUAACCAGAUCAUUACUGGGUUGUUUUUUUUCCUCAAUCUGUAUAUUGUGAUUUUAUGUUUUUGGAAAUUAAAAGAUUUUUUUUGUUUGGUA